rnacentral:rRNA from 1 species
GACGAACGCUGGCGGCGUGCCUAAUACAUGCAAGUAGAACGCAGUUGCGGACGGGUGAGGAACGCGUAGGUAACUGCCUCAUAGCGGGGGAUAAGUAUUGGAAACGAAAGCUAAUACCGCAUACUGUGGGAUGGACCUGAGUUGUAUUAGGUAGUUGGUGAGGUAAAGGACCACCAAGGCGACGAUACAUAGGCGACCUGAGAGGGUGAGAGGCCACAAGGGGACUGAGACACGGCCCAGAAUCCUACGGGAGGCAGCAGUAGGGAAGCUGCGGCCAUGGAUGGAAGUCUGACCGAGCGACGCCGAGUGAUUGAAGAAGGUUGUCGGAGCGUAAAGCUCUUUUGUUGGAGAAGCGGUAACUAACCAGAAAGGGACGGCUAACUACGUGCCAGCCGCCGCGGUAAUUC